ensembl:lncRNA
CCUUCCAAGAGGGGCGCCAGCAGGGGCCUCCCGCCCGGUGUCCUCAGAGCCAACGGAACGAGACUCAGCUGCUUUAAAAAGCAAAUGAGAGUCUGUCUUCGACAAACAUACGACAUGCGAGCUCCAGCUCCAGAGCGCACGCUCUCCCAACAGGCUGUGCGCGGCCCUUUGACUGGCAGCCGGGAAGGGGCGGAGUUCUCGCGAGGCUCUGGACCCGAGUCUCGCGUGCAGCGUCUGCACACGGCCCCCGCCGCCAUCUUGAUUGCGUUGGGGAACCCGGUACAGUGCUGCCCACACAGCCAGGCUGCUGAAGGGCCUGAAGUUCCAGUCCCUCCAAACACACUUGCUCAUUCCCAGCCUCAAAGAAGACACCACCCUGACACCCAUGGUCACUCGCGAGAGAUGCUGAGGAGCCUCCCAAACCAGAAUCAUCUUGGAGCUUUGUCCUCUAUUCUGUAGAUGAGCCAGCAUCCGCUGUACCUCCUCAGAUCUCAUCACAGCGUCUUAGCUCCAUCUGCACCUGGGUGUGUAUUGUGUCUGUCCGUGAGCUUUCGACCCCUGGAGGCCGGACCUAUGGGCAUCACUCUCCUUCUCUUCAUGUCUCCUUAGGAUGGAGGAAGUCAACAGAGUAGCCACUGCAGGGUCCUAUGGAAACAGAUGCCAAGGGCAGUGCUGCUUUCUCUGAAAAGAGGAAAGCUAGAACCAUCCGUUCAUCCUAUAUCUUCCUCCUCUAUAUUCUGGAGCGGCGAAGGGCGCACAGAGGUGAACGGCUUCAGCAGAGUCCCCUCCCUUGGGCCGCUUACAUUCCAGAAGUGGAGACAGACGGUGGACUGGUGAACAGAUAUGCCUUGGCCGGCGAGAGUGUGGAGAAGCUGGGCCCUGACACGCUGUGGGUGGGAAUGUGAACCGCCAGCCACUCUGGAGGACCAGCUGGCGGUUCCUCAGACGUUUACAUAUAGAGUUAC